CCUACGGGUGGCAGCAGUGAGGAAUAUUGGUCAAUGGGCGGGAGCCUGAACCAGCCAAGCCGCGUGAAGGAAGAAGGCGCCAAGCGUCGUAAACUUCUUUUGUCGGGGAACAAAGGGCGCCACGUGUGGCGUUGUGAGUGUACCCGAAGAAAAAGCAUCGGCUAACUCCGUGCCAGCAGCCGCGGUAAGACGGAGGAUGCGAGCGUUAUCCGGAGUUGUUGGGUUUAGAGGGUGCGUAGGCGGUCCGGACAGUUGGCGGUAAAAGCCCGGGGCUGAACCCCGGCGAGCCGUUGAAACUGUCGGACUAGAGACGGCGAGAGGUACGUGGAAUGCGCGGUGUAGCGGUGAAAUGCAUAGAGAUCGCGCAGAACUCCGAUUGCGAAGGCAGCGUACCGGCGCCGGACUGACGCUGAGGCACGAAAGCGUGGGUAUCGAACAGGAUUAGAUACCCUUGUAGUC
rnacentral:rRNA from 1 species